ensembl:rRNA 5S_rRNA 5S ribosomal RNA
GCAUACGGCCAUACCUCCCUGAGCACGCCCGAUCUCGUCUGAUCUCAGAAGCUAAGCAGUGUCGGGGCUGUUUAGAACUUGGAUGGGAGACCGCCUGGGAAUACCAGGUGCUGUAAGCU